GUAGGUGGCAAGCGUUGUCCGGAAUUAUUGGGCGUAAAGCGCGCGCAGGCGGGGGUUUUUAAGUCUGAUGUGAAAGCCCACGGGCUCAACCGUGGAGGGUCAUUGGAAACUGGAGAACUUGAGUACAGAGGAGGAAAGCGGAAUUCCACGUGUAGCGGUGAAAUGCGUAGAGAUGUGGAGGAACACCAGUGGCGAAGGCGGCUUUCUGGUCUGUAACUGACGCUGAGGCGCGAAAGCGUGGGGAGCAAACAGGAUUAGAUACCCUGGUAGUCCACGCCGUAAACGAUGAGUGCUAAGUGUUAGGGGGUUUCCGCCCCUUAGUGCUGCAGCUAACGCAUUAAGCACUCCGCCUGGGGAGUACGGCCGCAAGGCUG
rnacentral:rRNA from 1 species